GACGAACGCUGGCGGCGUGCUUAACACAUGCAAGUCGAACGGUGAAGCACCUUCCUUUUGGUGGGUGUGGAUGAGUGGCGAACGGGUGAGUAACACGUGAGUAACCUGCCCCCUUCUUCUGGAUAACCGCAUGAAAGUGUGGCUAAUACGGGAUAUUCUGCGCCUGCUGCAUGGUGGGUGUGGGAAAGAUGCGCCUUUGGGUGUUUUUGGUGGGGGAUGGGCUCGCGGCCUAUCAGCUUGUUGGUGGGGUGAUGGCCUACCAAGGCGGUGACGGGUAGCCGGCCUGAGAGGGUGGACGGUCACACUGGGACUGAGACACGGCCCAGACUCCUACGGGAGGCAGCAGUGGGGAAUAUUGCACAAUGGGCGCAAGCCUGAUGCAGCGACGCCGCGUGAGGGAUGGAGGCCUUCGGGUUGUAAACCUCUUUCGCCCAUGGUCAAGCCGCAACGC
rnacentral:rRNA from 1 species